GAAAUCUGUUUUCUUGUAUCAAGUUGUGGCACCGCCCAGGUGGGAAGAUGCCCGCGUAGGUGGGGAGCGGGGCUCCAUACUCAGGGCGAGGUGAGAGAGGAAUCCUGACCCUCUCCCAAGGAUCCUCUUUCCAGUCGGUGAGCCACCCGAGGACAUUCCUACUGCGGCUAGUUUGAAUUAGGGUUCUGUCUAGCAGUGAGUGACACACCCUGUUAAGAAUGUAACUAGGAAGCCAUCAUGGUUGAGUACGCCUUUAGUCCCAGCACUUGCCAGGCAAAGGCAGGGCAUUUUGUUUAUAAUGUCAGACAGACUGCCAGAUCCUGACAAUGACCCGAAGAUUACAGGCACCUCAGUUCCUGCACCUGGACCAAUGAGCAGAUGCUCAGAUAUGAAACCUGCCGCCUGCCAGAACCUGGCCGAGACUGUGGACAAAGCUGCUGGACGCUGGAAAAUUGAUUGUACCCCUUUGCCUAGACAAAACAAGGUCAGUCUUUUCCAUGUCCCUCUUCCACAGAGAGAAAAUAAAACCUCUCACAGAUAGGCCUGGCGAAGAUUGUUGUUCUUUGAGACAGCUGCCUCCAACGACAUCUGAGUACCAGUUGCUGACUUCAGACUGUUCUAAGUAGACUGCGAACCCUAGACUUGCUAUGGAUGUGAACUAGUCUGCUGAUAUGGACACCCCCUAUCUCUGCAACAGUGUCUGCUAACCAGAAGCCCCUGAUGGAUUCCCCGUUG
rnacentral:lncRNA from 1 species